AAGCCUAUUUCGUGGAUAGUGUGGAUUCACUCCGAUGAAGAUGAAUAUUCUCCUGCGUAUACUGUUUGUUUCAGGCGCUACCCACUCGCAUUACUAAAGCACAAUUGAUACCAUUACAAUGAACAAUAGGGAAUUUCAUCUGGCAGAAUAAAAGAUAUAGAAUCUCCAGACAGGUAUUGUACAGACAGAAGGACAGGAGAGGGUUGGGC